rnacentral:rRNA from 1 species
CUCAGGAUGAACGCUAGCGGCAGGCUUAAUACAUGCAAGUCGUGGGGCAGCAUGAGUAGCAAUACUUGAUGGCGACCGGCAAACGGGUGAGGAACACGUACACAACCUUCCUUCAAGCGGGGAAUAGCCCAGAGAAAUUUGGAUUAAUACCCCAUAAUAUAUUUGAUAAGGCAUCUUAUUAAUAUUAAAGCUUCGGCACUUGAUGAUGGGUGUGCGGCUGAUUAGAUAGUUGGCGGGGUAACGGCCCACCAAGUCUACGAUCAGUAGCUGAUGUGAGAGCAUGAUCAGCCACACGGGCACUGAGACACGGGCCCGACUCCUACGGGAGGCAGCAGUAAGGAAUAUUGGACAAUGGACGAAAGUCUGAUCCAGCCAUGCCGCGUGAAGGAUUAAGGUCCUCUGGAUUGUAAACUUCUUUAUAUGGGACGAAAAAGGGCAUUCUUGUUCACUUGACGGUACCAUAUGAAUAAGCACCGGCUAACUCCGUG